rnacentral:rRNA from 1 species
UAGGGAAUUUUUCACAAUGAGCGAAAGCUUGAUGGAGCAAUGCCGCGUGAACGAUGAAGGUCUUUAAGAUUAUAAAGUUCUUUUAUUUGGGAAGAAUGACUUUAGCAGGUAAUGGCUAGAGUUUGACUGUACCAUUUUGAAUAAGUGACGACUAACUAUGUGCCAGCAGUCGCGGUAAUACAUAGGUCGCAAGCGUUAUCCGGAUUUAUUGGGCGUAAAGCAAGCGCAGGCGGAUUGAAAAGUCUGGUGUUAAAGGCAGCUGCUUAACAGUUGUAUGCAUUGGAAACUAUUAAUCUAGAGUGUGGUAGGGAGUUUUGGAAUUUCAUGUGGAGCGGUGAAAUGCGUAGAUAUAUGAAGGAACACCAGUGGCGAAGGCGAAAACUUAGGCCAUUACUGACGCUUAGGCUUGAAAGUGUGGGGAGCAAAUAGGAUUAGAUACCCUAGUAGUCCACACCGUAACGAUAGAUACUAGCUGUCGGGGCGAUCCCCUCGGUAGUGAAGUUAACACAUUAAGUAUCUCGCCUGGGUAGUACAUUCGCAAGAAUG